rnacentral:rRNA from 1 species
UACGGGGGGAGCAAGCGUUGUUCGGAUUUACUGGGCGUAAAGGGCGCGUAGGCGGCCACCGCAAGUCGACUGUGAAAUCUCCGGGCUUAACCCGGAAAGGUCAGCCGAUACUGCGGGGCUAGAGUGCAGAAGGGGCAACUGGAAUUCUCGGUGUAGCGGUGAAAUGCGUAGAUAUCGAGAGGAGCCACUGCGGCGAAGGCGGGUUGCUGGGCUGACACUGACGCUGAUGCGCGAAAGCUAGGGGAGCGAACGGG